rnacentral:sRNA from 1 species
GGGGGAAGAGGUAAAAUCACAACCCGAACGUAACGCAAAUUUUUGCAAUUCCAAAUAUUGACAAAUUUUUGCAAUUCCAAAUAUUGACAAAUUAUGUAAAUCGUCUUUUAUGGAAUUUCGUUUAAUUUAAUUAAUACUAGUUUUUUUUCGACACAGGUAAAACACAAAUUCUUUGGUUUCGUAGAUCACAUAAAUCAUUGAUAUUACGAUUUCUUGACGAUUUUUGACGUGUUCGUAAUGUUUUCAAAUACGAGAGCUACAACAUUCCUUGUAGCCAUUAAAAUUCCUAAAAUAUUUCUGCUUACAUUGAUUAACCAUAAAUAUUUCAGGGAACUACCUUUCCUUUAAUUGUUUUUACUACUUCCUUCCAAAAGUGUUUACACAGCAAGUUACAAAUGUUAGCUAUGCGGACUAAACUGUGGUUUUUUUCAAUUCUUUCAAAUUAUGAUAUAUUUAUUAAUUUAUAUUAUAAUGUUUAAUGAUAUAUUAGUAUAAUCUAUAUUAAUUGAUUUAAAAUAAUCAUGUAUAUUCUAAAUACUGACUAUUAAAUAUCAGAUUUAUCAAACUGAAAGUUUACAAAGUAAAUACAAUGGAGAGAAGAAGUUUUAAAGAAAUUCAAUUGUCACAUUUUAAAAGUCAAAUCAAAAUCAGGAGUUAUCUUUUAAAAAACCGCUCAAAUUUUCAUUUUCGAAAGGAUGACUGUUCUACUAGUAUCAGAAUGGGUAAAAUAGACCGAUGUAGAAAUGUUAAUUAGCAAUGACAUAUAGAAUUGAAAUUGUUGAAUUGUUUACAUGUAUAUUUCGAAUUUCAUAUUUGUAUCAUUAAGUGCUUAAUUGAUUGAUUGUUUGAUUGCAUGAACAAAAAUAGAAUGCCAUGAUUUCGUUUGCUCUCUAUUUGUUUGAAUUAAAAUGUUCAAAUUU